rnacentral:rRNA from 1 species
CCGGGAACUCAAAGGAGACUGCCAGUGAUAAACUGGACGGAAGUGGGGAUGACGUCAAGUCAUCAUGGCCCUUACGACCAGGGCUACACACGUGCUACAAUGGCGCAUACAAAGAGAAGCGACCUCGCGAGAGCAAGCGGACCUCAUAAAGUGCGUCGUAGUCCGGAUUGGAGUCUGCAACUCGACUCCAUGAAGUCGGAAUCGCUAGUAAUCGUGGAUCAGAAUGCCACGGUGAAUACGUUCCCGGGCCUU